rnacentral:rRNA from 1 species
CCUACGGGAGGCAGCAGUGAGGAAUAUUGGUCAAUGGGCGCGAGCCUGAACCAGCCAAGUCGCGUGAGGGAAGACGGUCCUAUGGAUUGUAAACCUCUUUUGUCGGGGAGCAAAAGACGCCACGCGUGGCGUUCCGAGAGUACCCGAAGAAAAAGCAUCGGCUAACUCCGUGCCCGCAGCCGCGGUAAUACGGAGGAUGCGAGCGUUAUCCGGAUUCAUUGGGUUUAAAGGGUGCGCAGGCGGAAGAUCAAGUCAGCGGUAAAAUUGAGAGGCUCAACCUCUUCGAGCCGUUGAAACUGGUUUUCUUGAGUGAGUGAGAAGUGUGCGGAAUGCGUGGUGUAGCGGUGAAAUGCAUAGAUAUCACGCAGAACUCCGAUUGCGAAGGCAGCAUACCGGCGCUCAACUGACGCUCAUGCACGAAAGUGUGGGUAUCGAACAGGAUUAGAUACCCUAGUAGUC